GACGAACGCUGGCGGCGUGCUUAAUACAUGCAAGUCGAGCGAACAGACGAGGUGCUUGCGUAUCCGACGGUAGAGCGGGACGGUAGCGUGAGACUAGGAUAACCUACCUAUUAGACUGGGAUAACUUCGGGAAGCCGGAGCUAAGACCGGAGAAUAUAUUGCACGGCAUGGUUCAGUAGUGAUAGACGGUUUUGCUGUCACUUAUAGAUGGAUCCGCGCCGCAUUAGCUAGUUGGUAAGGUAAGGGUUUACGAAGGCAACGAUGCGUAGCCGACCGGAGCGAGUGAUCGGCCACACUGGAGGGGGGACACGGUCCAGACUCCUACGGGAGGCAGCAGUAGGCUACCCGCCGCAGUGGGCGAGAGCUUGACGGAGCAACGCGGCGUGAGAUAUGACGGUCUUCGGAUCGUAAAACUCUGUUAUUAGGGAAAAACAAAUGUGUAAGUAACUAUGCACGUCUUGACGGUACCUAAUCAGAAAGCCACGGCUAACUACGUG
rnacentral:rRNA from 1 species